rnacentral:lncRNA from 1 species
CUAAAUAUACAAACCUAUAUGAAAGAAUUAUUUAGAAUUAGAGAGUGUCAUGCUGAGUGAUGUGUAGAAUGCAUCUUAGAGGAUUUUAAUAACAAUAUUUUUUUGUGGGGAAGGUACAAGGAAUCAUCUCUGGACAUGUCAUAGAAAACUUCCCAUUACUGGGGAUGGAGGCAGCAGACCACCAUGGCAUGUGAAUACCUAUGUAACAAUCCUGCACAAACUGCACAUGUACCCCACAACUUAAACUAUAAUAAAAAAAGAGAAACUACCCAUUACUAUGUUUUACUGUAAGAUUCUUUCAAAAUCACCUUUUUAAUUUGUCCCACUUUGGUUGCUUAAGUUUUCCUCACUGUAUUUGUCAUCAUUAAUGUUUAUAAUUCAUUUUGUCUCAUUAGGAAACAGCUCCAGGAGAUGGAAAACCAGCUGCCUUCAUCAGAAACUCACAGGUGGCAUUUCUAUGGGGAGUCAACACAAGCAUUGGCUGGAAAGCCGAUACCUACAAGAUGGCACUUGGACAUGCUGAAGGAAGGAGCCUCAAGGUCUCUCUGUCCUCCCCACCCGGCUGUCUUUCCCUAAACCUUUAUCUCCCUGAGAUCCAGACCCAAGAGAAACAAUUGUUUCUCCUUUCCCUCCCUGUAAGACCAAGAAGUAACCACACCUGAACAGGCUUUUUCACAAGAUAAUGUACCAGUUAAUCUUUGUUGCCUGAUCCAUUCAUCCACCUUGGUGUUGGGGGAGACAGGGGAAAAGAGAAAGAGAAUGAUGAAUGAGACCCAGUCCUUGCCCUGGAAGGGCAAACAGUAGCUCUUCCACAGAGUGAUCCUCAACGGAUGGCUCUUCUCUCUGCUCCCAUAACCUGUUUUGCCAGGAUGGUAUAUAGGCUUCUGAACCCCGCUGGGAGGUGGACAGUCACUCUCUGAUUCUCCUCGUGUAUACACAGUGAAUAAAUUUGUAUGCCCUGCUAUUAAUCUGCAUCUUGUCAGUGGUUUUUCAGCGACUCUUCGGGAAGGCCACAGGGAACAUAUCCCUUGGCUCUUACACUAAUGUGUUGUAUUUCUCCAAAUAUAUGUGAGAUUAUUUUUGGCCAGAACUCAAGCUUCUGCUUCUUGAAUGUCCCACUCAGCUGAGAAGCAAAAUACAUAGUUGAUGUUUAAUACCUAUUUCAUCAUUAAUCACUGUAUAUGUAUAUUCCCUAAGUAUAAUGCUGAUGGACAAUCCAACCCAGACUCUGCCCUUUUGAUUUGUGGGAAGAUUGUGUCCCCAAGAAUGUUUUAUUUUGCCACUGAGAAGUGAAUUCCAGGAGAAUCAAAGUAGUUUGAAAAAGGGGGAAAUGGCAGACCUUUCUUAAAACUGUCUGGAAGCUGCCAGAAUCGUAGGCUAUCAGGGCUAGAAAAGACUUGGGAAUCAUCUGGUCCAUCCUCAUUUUACAGUGAAGGCCCAAAGACUUCCUUAAAGAUACAGCAAGGUGCCAAGCUGGGACUCCUAACCAAACUCUUUUCAUUAUUUUUCAUAACUUCUCUGAUUUCUCCAGAGUCAACUUUCCUCACAAUCUGAAUGAAAGCCCUCUCCCCAGAGGCUGUUUGGGCUGCCGGGAAUCUACGGGAAUCCGUGCAUCUACUUCUUACCAAGGUCGCUCUGCAGAGUUACUGCCAGGGGCCAGGUGGCCUGGCACGAGAUCUGAGAUUCGGCAUCCUUUGCCG